rnacentral:rRNA from 1 species
CUGGAGAUUUCUGCUCCCUCCCAUCCACACGGAAACGGUACCCUCUGCAGAAGGCCUCCUUCAUUGGUGGCCGAUGCGGCGCUUUACGCAAUGGCAACAUGCGUCGCGUGCAGGAAAUGGGGGCGUCCGUGGGUGUCACCAUGAACAAAGCACCGUGUUCAAGGGCGGCCACCGGGUUUGGCUACAUGGCAAAGAAUGGGUCUAAGAACUUCACCUCUCGCGGAAUAUUGCCCGUAGAUUCGGACGAUCCCAUUGAUUCCUAGAUCAAUGCCAGUACUGUAGGAUCGCACGUUGAGGACACCUGGCCCUGCCGUGUCCCCCCUAGGGAUUGUGCCAUCCAUUCUCCAUGCAUCGCUCGGUGUAAGUCAGCUAAUCAUACUCAGAACGUUGGUCGAUUCUUUGUCAUUCGCCAGCUGCGGMGAAGGCGUGUUUUACCAGAGAUUACUUGUCUGUCGAUCAAGAACGAGAGUAUGGGGCGCGAAGAUGAUCAGAUACCGUUGUAGUCCAAAACCGUAAACGAUGCCAGCUCGGUGUUGGUCCUGUGUUCUCUCUUGAACGACCUGAUCAGCACCUUCCCCCUCUCACGACAAAUCCAAGCCUUUGGGUUCAGGGGGCAGUACAGUCUCAAGGCUGAAACUUAAAGGAAUCGACGGAAUGACACCACCAGGCGGCUUAAUUUGACUCAACACGGGCAAUGUACCAGGUCAGGACGCAGCGAGGAUGGACAGAUUGAGAGCUCUUUCUUGAUCCUUUGGAGGGUGGUGCAUGGCUGUUCCUGGUUGGUGGAGUGAUUUGUCUGGUUGAUUCCGAUAACGAGCGAGAUCUCUGCGUCUACUUACGUGGCUGCGUCGUAUUCGUACAGCUUUUUCUCGUGGCCGCCUGUGCGUCUUCGGGCGUAAAAAGCCUGAGAUGGCUGGAGAUGCAGUGUUAUU